CCAGCCCAGCCUCGAACUCACAGAGAUCCGGCUGCCUCUGCCUCCCGAGUGCUGGGAUUAAAGGCGUGUGCCACCACUGCCCGGCACCACUCUGGUUUCUACAGUCCUGCGGUUACAAGCAGGAACUCUAUAGACAACGCAGGGAAGUCUAAAGGUCGGAGAAGCCAUUGUUGAUAGCUAACACUCUGGAAUGAGGUGUGUCCUGGUUAUUUAUUUUUUUUUGUCAACUUGACACAGCCUAGGGUCAUCUGAGAAGGGAGACUCAGCUGAGGGAAUGACCGUGUCAGACUGGCCUGUCUGCAAGACUGUCUUGAUUAUUAAUCGAUGUGAAGGGACCCAGCCCACAGCAGGCAGCGCCGUCCCCCAGGAGAACAGCAGCCCAGAUGAACCCUCCAGAUGGAAGUUACCUCAUGGCCUUCAGCAUGCUGCUGCUCCUCUUCCUCUUCGGCAGAAGCUUGCUCACCGUCUAGGCGUGACCUGCUUUUAGAAACAGACACUAGCUCAAGGCCUAUCCUGUAAGCUGCAUGCCUGCUGCUCAUUGGUGUUAACUGAUGUAAAGCAGUCAUUGUAACAUUAAAGAGACAGCUUGUG